ACUUGUGGGUGGGGAACAUCAUCAUCUUGAUGACCUCAGCAGUGCACACUGUAUAGUCACCGUGACUUCUUUUCCUGUGCCCUUCUUCUAGGUGAGUGUAGCUCAAUGUCUUAACAAAAAGAAGGCCAUGCAAGGCUGCAGCUUUACCUCAUUUUCUGCUCUGAGGGCAGAAAACUCACUCUUCUCCAAGAUGAUCAUAUCUUUCUUCACGUUAGCAAUCUUAGAUAUAAUUUGCUGAAGAGUGAUUUCCUAGAAAAAGAGAAAAAUGACACGUGGAAUCUUGUCCGGUCCCCUGAAACCUCCUUCUUCUUACCUCUACCUGCUAACGGGGCUAAAAAGAAACCAGAACAGCGUGUGAGACUGGGAAGGUCACCUCUGCUCCAAAGUGAGAAGCAGCCUUCAGAUGAAGAUGUAGAACUCUCAGCUCUGCCUGCACCAUGCCUGCCUGGAUGCUGCCAUGCUCCCACCUUGAUGAUAAUGGACUGAACCUCUGAACCUAAACAACUGGAACCAGAAAUAGCAAGCUUGGUUGAAGAAAGCUGGCUUCUAAAAAAAAGCUCCGGAAAGAGAAGAGUUUGUUGAACUUAUUACCUCCAAACAGCUAGAAAAGUGUCAGGCAGAGAACAGGCAACAGCGGACCAUGAAAGAAUCAAUAGUUUGGAAUCAAAGGAAAACGGCAUCCCUUCAUUC